rnacentral:tmRNA from 1 species
GGGGGCGACCGGUUUCGACAUGAUAGCUCUGAGAAGGUAAGCAGGCCGUGGUCUCCUCGCCACGCUAAACAGGGGUACCGUCAAAAUUAAUUGACAACAAUCGUUAUGCCCUCGCAGCUUAAUUAAGCUGCGACGUCAAGGGAAGAUGUGCUCCCGGUCUUCCUACGACGUCAUCCUCGGGAGCUGCUCUCCUGCACGUGGUUGGUAUGGCAGGGGAUAAGACCGAACCAGCUGGAUGGUCGACGGCGUGCGGACAGGUGGCCGAUCAUCGAGACUGCACUGUCAGCUGAGCUUGGAGAAAGCCUUCAGGGGGUUGUCAUGGACCGGAGUUCGAUUCUCCGCGCCUCCACCA